rnacentral:lncRNA from 1 species
CUUUUUCUUUGGAAUUUGAAGCUAUUUGUGUUCUGCUUUUGUUCCUCUGAGUAUGCUCAGGAAUGGAGACGUAGCCCAUUUUGUGUUUAUCAUACAUUUGCUGUCUUCCUCUCUAUUGACAGCCUGGUACCUGAGGGCAGGUCGCUGGAUGGCGGUUUCUUACUGCCCUGCAGCUGGGGAAGGAGUUUGCAGCCCUUCUGCUGAGAACACAGGGCUGGGUCUGCAGCAACUAAAAAGACUGGAAGAUUUCUUCAAAUUCCUGCAUUGCUGUGAGCUGACACAAGGACACGGGGCUCCAUACGGUAACCAGCAGAUCUGCAGUGCAGGAGCUGGCAAUGUACACGUGUAAGGCUGGUAGCAUGGAGAAGUCCAUACAGGGAAUAGAAAAAAGAGGGAAAGUCCAUUUUUACAGGUAUUUCUGCACAACUAUUCCCAAAACCUUUUGGGGGGCAAUUUUUGUGUUUCAUUUGCUUGGAGAGCCUGACCUGGG